AGACCAUGAUGAAGACAACGUCGAAGUAGUUCUUUGUAUCUUUCCCAAGCUUCAUACAAUGAUUCAGAAUUUAGCGGCAUGAAUGAUGUAAUAUCAUUCUUCAUUUU
rnacentral:snoRNA from 1 species